ACUACCUGGGGAUCUUGUUAAAAUGCAGAUUCUGAUUUAGUAGCUCUGGGGAUGAGCAUUAGGCUAAGAUUCUACAUUUUUAGCAAAUUCCAAGGUGAUGCCUA
rnacentral:pre_miRNA from 1 species